AAUAACCUCAUUUCUUGUAUCUAACAUUUCAUCGUUCGUAUUAUUUAAAUUUUUUUAUAAUUAGUAUUUUUAUGCUUAUUAGAUGGUAAAAGAUAAAUAUUACUUUAUACGUGGUUAUCUUUUUUAUUUUUUCAUAAAUUUUUAAAUAAGACGGAUGAUCAAACGUUAGAUACAAAAAUUCACAACUGUACUUAAA
rfam:Oryza glaberrima chromosome 2 Oglab02_0005_7, whole genome shotgun sequence.